rnacentral:lncRNA from 1 species
CGACGGCGUGAUCGAGAGGGGGAGCGGGCAGAGCUUUGGCAUGUCCAUCGCCAGGGAAGUACCGUUGUACGGCACCACCGUCGAUCCGCGUCCCUGGCCGCGCGGUGUCAUCGUGGGGUGGCCGCUGUGACUCACCUGAACCGUCCCCUGGAUCGUGUGCCCAGAUUGCGACCCCGGGGAUCGAUUGGAGCGUCGGGAUGUGCUCACCAGAAAUUCUCUGCUACCGUCGUACCGCGCCGCGCCGUGGGCCGGCCUCACCAUCACCACUAAUUCUUGUAAGACUAUCUCCAUUAGGUUCUGCAUAUUCUUAUUCUCUGUUUGCACCGAUUGGCACUUGGGUUGGGGCGACGGAGGCCGACUGACCUGCUUGCCAGCAAUGGAGCCGCCGUGGUAGAGUCCUUUGUUGCCGCGUGCACAGCGUAGGGAAGUAGACGAUGUUGUGGCCGCGGGAUCUCAAAGGGACGGAUAAGAUUAGAUCUUGACUUGGAGUAUUUGGGACCAUUGGAUGGUGAUCGGAUGGGUGAUAUUGGAUCGGGCUUAAGAAAAUAUGGGUCGUAGAUCUCGUAUCAUGCGGUCAUAAAUGGAUACCGGUUCUGGAUGUGUGGAUCUAACCUGGUCCGUGGGAUGCAGAUCGGGCGGCUGUCAUCUGAAGAUACCCCUUCACGGCAGCAACUUUUCAAAAGAGUCCCUGCGUUUUUAUAAAAUAAACCCGCAGUCCUAUUCCUGUAAAAACAAAUUACAGUCGAGCCCUGAUAUUUAUAAGAUAAACCCUAGGCUUUCACAAUUUUGUGACAGCAGUCCAGCAGUCCGAUAAAAUUAGGAAUUAAAUCCAAAAUGGGUUAAUGUAUAGGAAAAUAAACUCAAGAACUUGCAAAAUUCAUAUCUACCUCAUUCUAGCUCGGAAUUGAUCCAUUCCAAUUGCAUUAGACUCAUGAUAAUAUUGUCUAUCGGUUAGUAACCUUAUUUCACUAUGUAACUUAGUUAUAAAAAUAACAUUCAUUUUGUUUUAUGUUUAACACCUAAAUUAUUCAAAAAUUCAUAACUUUUACACCUUAACCCCGAUUUGAUCAAUUCGAAUAGCGCUAGCCUCGUAGAAAUAUUUACUACACAGUAGCAACAUUAAUUAUAUGAUAUCACAUACUUCUUUAAUUAAGUAACUAGUUGGAUUAAUCUAUAUUUAUUGGAUUAGCUUUUCUAAUAUUAAUAUAGUAUUAUGAUCUUAUGGUUAUGGUUGACUAAAAGAUGAUCUUUAAUCAAGUAAUGACUUAGAUUAAAGUUGAGUUAAUUAUUCAUAGAAUAUUCUCUCAUAUGAUGUAUACUAAUCAAUCUAUAAUAUAAUUUAAUAUUCAACCACAUAGAUCUUCCGUAAAUCGUAACUCGGUAACCGUAACUCUGAUUUUAGUGAUUCUCGAGCUCACGAUCUCGUAGCUUCGCGUACAUCAUUAUUAUUCAGUUUGUACUUAUGUUUGAUGUGAUGUUAAUUUUUUUAUGCCAUAUUUGUUCGUAUUGCUAUGACUAGCAGUGAGGUCAUGAGAAUCUGAAGAUCAUCCUGGUACCUGGAAUCUCAAGUCCUAGUCAAGUUGUGCCCUUGACUAGUUUUCUUACCCAAUAAUAUUCUUUAUAAUCAUUUAUUCAUGCAUAGGUUCAAUUUUUAUGGGACCCAAUAGGUCACCCUAGUCUGCUUAUCUUUUACCUUGUUCACCCCUGAAUCAUUGGGUAGUUUUGCUAUUGCUCUAUAUGGUUUUGGGAUUAAUAUUACAUUAUGUCCAUGUUCCAAUUAUACUGUUAUUUUAUUUAUGUUCAUGUCAGGAUCAAUAUUUUUAAUUGGAACAUGGAGCUUAACUUGAGAAACACGUGCCACCACAAGGGUGGAAUGGGAUGCCAUUGGCUGACUAAUUAGGAAAGUAGUGGAAGACUACCUUACCCGAAAGGGACAAGGGCGGUAGGGGAGUAGGCGUGUAGGGAGGUUCUCGGGUUGAUUUUGCUGCGAUGGUGGUCGGACGAGGGAUUCCUACAUUGCUCUUCCUAGAAACUGUAGCGGGUUUUUGGAAGCUAGUGGAACUUUGUAAAGGCCUCGUAGUGGAUCCCUAGCCAUUCACCUUGAAAGUGUCUUAGGGCCUUGCAAACCCUAGCGACAUGGGAUACACGACUUGUGGGUAUAGGGUACAACCUCUGCAGAGUGUAAAACUGGUAUACUAGCCGUGCUCACGGUCAUGAGCAGCUCAGGACUCUCGCAUGAUUAAAUUAUGGAACUAAAUUCAAUUUGUCAUUUGCAUUGCAUGAGAUUUAUUAUUAAUUUUGUUCUAUUAUUAUUAUGGUUUGGUAUCUACUUACACUUAGUAACUGCUAAUAAAAUUUUGACCAACUUUAAAAGCAAUGCUCAGCUUUAACCAUUCUCUUUGGUAAGCCUUACACUUCACAUGAGCUCCCACCUUUGGCGAGUUCAUGCACAUUAUUCCCCACAACUUGUUGAACGAUGAACAUAUGUGAGCUCACCCUUGCUGUCUCACACCCCCCACAGGUCAAGAACAGGUACCACAGGAUGAGGCGCCUAGAGGAUGUUGCGAUGUGUUCGUGAGAGGUCUAGGUCGUCGUCUCCCAGUUAACUUUGGGUUGCUGGAUCGUUGUCUCCUUACAAUGUAAUUAUUUAUUUAUUUUGUACAGAACUCCUAUUAUAUAGUAAAGUUGUAACAUUCGUUUUUGUACCAUGAUUCAUUAUAUGUGUGAGACUUGGUCCCAG